UAGUGCCCCUGCAGAUUUUAGUGGUGAUGCCCAGAGCCUGGAAGAAAGAGGUCUUCUCAGGCCCCAGACCAGUGUUCUGGGCAGACACGGUGACUUCACAUGGUGCAACGGCACCUGCACGGGCAGCAGCAGGCACCUUAUUGGCUAGCAGCAUAUCCCUGAUCUCAGUGAGGUCCUCCUUGGUGAACACAAAGCCCACAUUCCCCCGGAUAUGAGGCAACAGUUUCUCCAGAGCUGGGUUGUUUUUCCAGAUCGGAAGAGCGUGGUG